GUCAACUGCAGGCAGCUGCCUGGGCCGUGACCCCAUGACCUCUGCACGGCCCCUUCCGGAGUCCCGGAGCCAAUGAGGGGCUGGAGGAGGUGGCCUUGGAGUCAGAGCAGCCCGCCCAUCGGGACCUGGAGCCCCGUCUCCGCAGAGUGGCCUUGGCUGGGUCUUGGGCAGACAAGUGCAGCCCGUGUAGUCACUCCUGGAGAACUAUGGGCACUGCCCUGGGGUGCCCUACGCCCUGGUCAGGACCCCUGGGCUCAGCCCCGCAGAGGAGCAGCUGGCGCUGAGGAAUGCCCUACGGUACUUCCCCCCGCAUGUCCAGGAGCUACUGGCCCUCGAGUUCGUCUAGCAGCUGCAGCUAGCUGUACAGAAGGCCAGACUGUCUGGAACAACCCCACAAAGCAGGCACCGUGUCCCCUCGCUCCUGUCCAGGCCUGCUGGCCUGGCACCCUCUCCAGAAUUGCUCAGGAGCCCUGGUGGUGCAAAGGAAAGGACAGGGACAUGGAACAGUACCGCUGCUGGACUAAAGCCGCUGCAGCCAUCAUGCACAUGAUCAGGAACAACCUGGACCCUGCCUGCUGUGGCCCAGGCACAGCUCUGCUCCCAGCCCCCCGUCCACCCUUUUCCGGGUGAUUUCCAACUACCCCAGGAUAGAACGUGAGAAACUCUUUGCCAUGAGGAUUACCAUGUAAGUGCUGUUUCAGUUUAUAGAGGGCCCUAGCCAGGCUUUACUGUAAAAUAAUGAACACUAACCAUGAUUAUUUUUUUUUUAGUAGAUAUUGUAAUGUUUUCUUUUUUUUUUUAAAGUCACAUCUGUGGUUUUAUCAUGAUCAUCACAAUCCAGUUUCACAGAUUUCCAUCCCACAACCCAAGCACACCCCCCACCCCCCAAACUGUCUCCUCCAGAGACCAUAAGUUUUUCAAUGUCUAUGAGUCAGCAUCUGUUCUGCAAAGAAGUUCGGUCUGUCCUUUUUUCAGAUUCCACAUGUCAGUGAAAGCAUUUGAUGUUGGUGUCUCAUUAUAUGGCGGACUUUACUUAGCAUGAUAGUUUCUAGGUCCAUCCAUGUUGCUAAAAAUGCCGGUAUUUUGUUCCUUUUAAUGGCUGAGUAAUAUUCCAUUGUGUAUAUGUACCACAUCUUCUUGAUCCACUCCUCUGUCAAUGGACAUUUCGGUUGUUUCCAUGUCUUGGCAGUUGUAUAUAGUGCUGCAAUGAAUGUUGGAGUACAUGUGUCUUUUUGAGUCAUGUUUUUCUUUGGAAAAAUGCCCAGGUGUGGGUUUGCUGGAUCAAAUGGUAG
rnacentral:lncRNA from 1 species